rnacentral:rRNA from 1 species
UAGUCCACGCCGUAAACGAUGAAUACUAGGUGUCGGGGGUCGAACCUCGGUGCCGCAGCUAACGCAUUAAGUAUUCCGCCUGGGGAGUACGCACGCAAGUGUGAAACUCAAAGGAAUUGACGGGGACCCGCACAAGCAGCGGAGCAUGUGGUUUAAUUCGAAGCAACGCGAAGAACCUUACCAGAUCUUGACAUCCAAUUGACCAUUUCUUAAUCGAGAUUUCCCUUCGGGGCAAUUGAGACAGGUGGUGCAUGGUUGUCGUCAGCUCGUGUCGUGAGAUGUUGGGUUAAGUCCCGCAACGAGCGCAACCCUUAUUUUAGUUGCCAUCAAGUUAAGUUGGGCACUCUAGAGAGACUGCCGGUGACAAACCGGAGGAAGGUGGGGAUGACGUCAAAUCAUCAUGCCCCUUAUGAUCUGGGCUACACACGUGCUACAAUGGUCGGUACAACGGGCAGCGAAGGAGCGAUCCGGAGCAAAUCCUAAUAAGCCGAUCCCAGUUCGGA